UACGAAGGGGGCUAGCGUUGUUCGGAUUUACUGGGCGUAAAGCGCACGUAGGCGGAUCUUUAAGUCAGAGGUGAAAUCCCAAGGCUCAACCUUGGAACUGCCUUUGAUACUGGGGAUCUUGAGUCCGGGAGAGGUAAGUGGAAUUCCGAGUGUAGAGGUGAAAUUCGUAGAUAUUCGGAAGAACACCAGUGGCGAAGGCGACUUACUGGACACAUAUUGACGCUGAGGUGCGAAAGCGUGGGGAGCAAACAGG
rnacentral:rRNA from 1 species